rnacentral:rRNA from 1 species
UACGUAGGGUGCAAGCGUUGUCCGGAAUUAUUGGGCGUAAAGAGCUCGUAGGCGGUCUGUUACGUCGGCUGUGAAAACCUGGGGCUCAACCCCGGGCCUGCAGCCGAUACGGGCAGACUAGAAUUCGGUAGGGGAGACUGGAAUUCCUGGUGUAGCGGUGAAAUGCGCAGAUAUCAGGAGGAACACCGGUGGCGAAGGCGGCAUCCUGGACCGACAUUGACGCUGAUGAGCGAAAGCUAGGGGAGCAAACGGG